rnacentral:rRNA from 1 species
ACUGUGGUAAUUCUAGAGCUAAUACAUGCAAUGAAGCUGUUCUGGCCUCGUGUCAGCAGCGCAGUUAUUAGAUUAAAACCAAUAUAGGCCUUCGGGUCUAUUAAACUUGUGAUGAAUCUGAAUAACCGAAGCUAAGCGCAUGGUCUCGUACCGGCGCUAGAUCUUUCAAGUGUCUGAUCUAUCAGCUUGUCGUUAGGUUAUGUUCCUAACGUGGCUUCGACGGGUAACGGGGUAUCAGGGUCCGAUACCGGAGAGGGAGCCUGAGAAAUGGCUACCACAUCCAAGGAAGGCAGCAGGCGCGCAAAUUACCCACUCCCAGUUCGGGGAGGUAGUGACGAAAAAUAACGAUGCGGGAGCAUAAUGCUUCCCGUAAUCGGAAUGAGUACACUUUAAAUCCUUUAACGAGGAUCAAUUGGAGGGCAAGUCUGGUGCCAGCAGCCGCGGUAAUUCCAGCUCCAAUAGCGUAUAUUAAAGUUGCUGCGGUUAAAAAGCUCGUAGUUGGAUCUGGGUGCUUCGAUGAGUGGUGCAUCUAUUCGAUGUCUACUACUCCAUCGACACCACAAGCCAACCAUGUCCUUCUAUACCCUUCAUUGGGCGUAGAUAAUGGGCGGUUGGAACGUUUACUUUGAAAAAAUUAGAGUGCUCAAAGCAGGCGUAUGGCCUUGAAUAAUGGUGCAUGGAAUAAUGGAAUAGGACCUCGGUUCUAUUUGUUGGUUUACAAGAGCUCGAGGUAAUGAUAAAGAGGAACAGACGGGGGCAUUCGUAUUGCGACGUUAGAGGUGAAAUUCUUGGAUCGUCGCAAGACGAACUACUGCGAAAGCAUUUGCCAAGAAUGUUUUCAUUAAUCAAGAACGAAAGUUAGAGGUUCGAAGGCGAUCAGAUACCGCCCUAGUUCUAACCAUAAACGAUGCCAACCAGCGAUCUGUCGGUGUUUAUUUAACGACUCGACAGGCAGCUUCCGGGAAACCAAAGUGCUUAGGUUCCGGGGGAAGUAUGGUUGCAAA